CGAACGCUGGCGGCAUGCCUAACACAUGCAAGUCGAACGAAGUCUUCGGACUUAGUGGCGCACGGGUGCGUAACGCGUGGGAAUCUGCCCUUAGGUACGGAAUAACUCAGGGAAACUUGAGCUAAUACCGUAUGAUGUCUUCGGACCAAAGAUUUAUCGCCUAGGGAUGAGCCCGCGUUGGAUUAGCUAGUUGGUGGGGUAAAGGCCUACCAAGGCGACGAUCCAUAGCUGGUCUGAGAGGAUGAUCAGCCACACUGGGACUGAGACACGGCCCAGACUCCUACGGGAGGCAGCAGUGGGGAAUAUUGGACAAUGGGCGAAAGCCUGAUCCAGCAAUGCCGCGUGAGUGAUGAAGGCCUUAGGGUUGUAAAGCUCUUUUACCCGGGAAGAUAAUGACUGUACCGGGAGAAUAAGCCCCGGCUAACUCCGU
rnacentral:rRNA from 1 species